GACGUAGGGCGCAAGCGUUGUCCGGAUUUAUUGGGCGUAAAGAGCUCGUAGGCGGCUCGUUGCGUCGGCUGUGAAAACCCGCAGCUCAACUGUGGGCUUGCAGCCGAUACGGGCGGGCUGGAGUUCGGUAGGGGAAACUGGAAUUCCUGGUGUAGCGGUGAAAUGCGCAGAUAUCAGGAGGAACACCGGUGGCGAAGGCGGGUCUCUGGGCCGAUACUGACGCUGAGGAGCGAAAGCGUGGGGAGCGAACAGG
rnacentral:rRNA from 1 species